CCUAGCUCCCCACCAAUGCCUGUGAUUGACAAUGUUUUUAGUCUGGCCCCCUACCGUGACUACCUGGAUGUGCAGACCCCAGAGCCCACAGUUGAGCAGGACUCAGCUCCAGCCACCAGUAAGAGCCAAGACAAAGAUUGCAAGGAGACCCUGCCUGUUCAGGAUGGGGCCUCUAGGCCUCACCGCUCUCUUCGUGAGGAGGUGGCUCUGGACUUGAGUGUGAAGAAGUCAAUGGCAGAGGAUGUCCCUGUCAAGGUCCCUAGUCCUGAGGAGCAUAAUAAGCCCAGUGAAACUGUCGAUGGGUCAGGUAUAGAAAACACAGCGUCGGGUUUGCCUGGCCUAAAAAAGAUGGUCACAGAAAUACCUGAGGUAACUGCAGAAGCCACACCAAGGACAAAUUUCCACAGCUCUGUGGCCUUCA
rnacentral:lncRNA from 1 species